UAACGUGUGGGCAACCUGCCCUGCACUGGGGAAUAAUCAUUGGAAACGAUGACUAAUACCGCAUACGGUUCCUGGGAGGCAUCUUCCGGGAAAGAAAGGAUUUAUUCGGUGCAGGAUGGGCCCGCAUCUGAUUAGCUAGUUGGUGAGAUAACAGCCCACCAAGGCGACGAUCAGUAGCCGACCUGAGAGGGUGACCGGCCACAUUGGGACUGAGACACGGCCCAAACUCCUACGGGAGGCAGCAGUGGGGAAUAUUGCACAAUGGGCGAAAGCCUGAUGCAGCAACGCCGCGUGAAGGAAGAAGGGUUUCGGCUCGUAAACUUCUAUCAACAGGGACGAAAGAAAUGACGGUACCUGAAUAAGAAGCCCCGGCUAACUACGUGCCAGCAGCCGCGGUAAUACGUAGGGGGCAAGCGUUAUCCGGAAUUACUGGGUGUAAAGGGUGAGUAGGCGGCAUGGUAAGCCAGAUGUGAAAGCCUUGGGCUUAACCCGAGGAUUGCAUUUGGAACUAUCAAGCUAGAGUACAGGAGAGGAAAGCGGAAUUCCUAGUGUAGCGGUGAAAUGCGUAGAUAUUAGGAAGAACACCAGUGGCGAAGGCGGCUUUCUGGACUGAAACUGACGCUGAGGCACGAAAGCGUGGGGAGCGAACAGGAUUAGAUACCCUGGUAGUCCACGCCGUAAACGAUGAGUGCUAGGUGU
rnacentral:rRNA from 1 species